rnacentral:rRNA from 1 species
GAAAAAUUUAUAAUAUAUAUAUAUAUAUAAAAAAAAUAUUUUUGAUAUUAGUAUAUUUUAGAAUAUAAAAAUUUUAUUAUAGUUAAUUUGUAUAGAGAUAGAUAAUAUAAAUAUAUAGAGAUUUAUUUUUUAAAAAGAAAAAUUAAUUUUUUGUACCUUGUGUAUCAGGGUUUAUUAAAAUAAUUUAAUUAUUUAGUGUUCUCGAAUUAUAAAGAGCUAAUAUAAUAUAAAUUUAAUUGUGGCAUAAAUUUUUAAAAUAUUAUAUUAGAAAUGAAACGUUAUACGUUUUUUAAGAUAUCUAGUUUCUUAAGAAAUAAAUUUAAUUUAGUUUUUUUAUUGUAUUAUAUUAAUUAUAUAGUAUUUUAUAUAUAAAAAGUAAUAUUUUAGGGGAUAAGCUUUAAAAUAAAAUGUUAAAAAUGUAUAUUUUGAAUAAAAAUUAGUAGAAUUGGAAGUGUUAAUCUUUAGUUUGUUAUAAAUAAUUUUUGUUAGAAUAAGAUUUAUAUUAUUUUUAAGUAGUUUAUUAAGAUAAUAUAUGUAAUAUUGGUUUGUAUAGAAUAAUGAUAAAAUUAGUAUAUAUUUUAAUUUAGUAAUUAAAUUAAAACUUCAAGGUUAAAUUAAGGAACUCGGCAAAUACACUUUUCGCCUGUUUAUUAAAAACAUGUCUUUUUGAUUAUAAUUUAAAGUCUGACCUGCCCAAUGAGGAUUUGAAUGGCCGCGGUAAUUUGACCGUGCAAAGGUAGCAUAAUCAUUAGUUUUUUAAUUGAAAGCUGGAAUGAACGGUUGGACGAGAAAGUAACUGUCUCAAUUUAAUUGAAUAUAGAAUUUUAUUUAUAAGUAAAAAAGCUUAUAUAAUUUUAAAAGACGAGAAGACCCUAUAGAGUUUUAUAGUUUAAAUUAUUAUUUAAUUUUAGCAUAUUUAUAUAUUUAAUAAUUUAAACUAUUUUGCUGGGGCAGCAGAAAAAUUGAUUAAACUUUUUUUAUUUAAAAACAUUAAUUUAUGAUUGAAUGAUCCAUUUUUAAUGAUUACAAGAUUAAAUUACCUUAGGGAUAACAGCGUAAUUUUUUUUUAGAGUUCUUAUCGAAAAAAAAGUUUGCGACCUCGAUGUUGGAUUAAAAUUAACUUUUGGUGUAGGGGCUAAAAGGUUAGGUCUGUUCGACCUUUAAAAUUUUACAUGAUCUGAGUUUAAACCGGCGUGAGCCAGGUUGGUUUCUAUCUUUAAAAAAUAUAGGUAUUUUAGUACGAAAGGAUCAGAUACCUUUAAAAUUUAAUAUAAUUUGAAUAUGAAU